rnacentral:tRNA from 1 species
UAGUAAAGUCAGCUAAUUAAGCUCUUGGGCCCAUACCCCAAACAUGUUGGUUAAAUUCCUUCCUUUACUAA